rnacentral:lncRNA from 1 species
GGCUCAACUGGGACAAGUGAUUGCAUUUUUCUUCUCAAAUGGUGGGCUACAUAACAAGAAUUUAGCAUUAGACAGGUAUGCCAGUGUUGCUGCUAGUGGAAAGUGCACCAAUAUACAUGCUACUCCAGGAUAAGGUUGGCAGAUAUGCUUUGGUCAAACACUGGCAUGCACAAGGGACGAACAAACAAACGUAGACAGCCGUCAUAUCUUGCCAUCAAGAACAAGAUUUAAGAAAAGACCUGUGGCCGUGGUCAUGUAUGAUGUAGCUCAAUCACCCCAGAAACAGAAGAUGUUAUUAAAAGUAUAAGCUGAUUCCAGUUUGGCUCUGGCAGAGUGAGGGCAGAAGAGAGGACAACAUGUUGGAGGGGAAGCCAGAGAGUUAACCAGAGAUUAAAUCCUGUUGGCUCUUACCGGACAAGGACUGGGCUUUUACUCUGAGUGAGAUCAGAAGCCAUUGCUGGGCUGGGACCGGAGGAGAUACACAGCUCACAAAACACAUCAAUACAGAGAAUUCAAACUUCUGAAAAACAUAUUGGAUGAAGAAAUGAAGUCCAAAUUAAAAUGAGGAAGUCCAGUCAGAUGACGAACUUGAACACAAAGAGCAAGCCAUUGAGCACUAGUUGGCCACAGAUGUGGAUUUAAGUUUUCUAGCUGCCAAAAUGUAAAGAGGGAAACACGAUCCUCUGCAGGACUCAACAGUAUCCCUGAGAUCGAAUCUGACAAACUGCUCAGAAGGGGCACCUAUGCUUUUCCCUGAGAUGAAUGUCUCCCAUCGUCAGAUGUCAGAUUCUGGAUCUAUUUUGACAAGAGAGCUCAAAGGAUUUCUUCACAGAUGGAAAUGAGGGGGCUGUGAACCCCUGAUAUCUGAGAGGUGUCUCAGUCAAUUUAGAAAGUUUAUUUUGCCAACGUUAAGGACCCGCCCAUGACAGCCUCAGGAGGUCCUGACGACACGUGCCCAAGGUGGUCAGGGCACAGCCUGCUUCCAUACAUUUUAGUGAGACAUGAAACAUCAAUCAUUUUAUGUGCUAGACCUCCAGAGAGAGAAAAUGAGACACAUAAGGUGGAAAUUACUCUGUGGUGACACACUGUGGAGUCCUGCCCACAACCCGGAUACUUGGACCCACUCCACUGAAACCUUAGGCCACAGCUAAGUUCCUUCCUUCAAAAAAUAAAUCUAAGAAAGAGGAAAAACAGGAAUGACCUCCUUUCAGGCACUCUGUUGGUUUUAUGGCGCCUCUUCUUGCGAAUGUUUGUGUAAAAUUGACAUACUGUGGUCCUUUUCUGCACAAUUACGGCAAGGAAAAUUCAGAUCGCAAAGGUCCACCUUUCAUCUGCAUCUCAUUACCGGGUAGCAGGAAUAAGUAGGCUGACCCUCAGUUUGGACCGGGAACAGCUGUCGGACGUUACUGGGAGGAAUGAGGGCGAGGAAGAGAAAGACGUUAGUCCUCGGACCGUUUCCGAGAGUCAUCUCCGGGAGUAAUGCGAAGAUGGACACGCUCAGUCCUGCCUGUGCAUGCGCGUUCGCGUUGUACGGAAUUCCCAAGCCAGCUGCGUAGUUUCUGCCUUGAAGCUAUUUGGCGAGAAGUUUCGCCUGUUCCUUUACUUUGUGGGUCAGGGCUUGGGUGCUUGAGUGGGAGAAACAGAAAGCCAGCUAGCCCUGGAACCCCUUCUAAGAUCGUCAUCCACCCAGCCAUCCAUAAAUCUGUUCAUCCAUGAAACAAAUAAUCAUUGAGCACCCCUUAUAUGCCAGACACACGUAAGGAUGCAAGGGCCGCGUUCUCAUUCUAGUGGGUGGGGACAGAGAGUAAACAAAUUAUCUACUUAAUUUCAGAUAGUGGUAAGUGAUAGAAAAUAAAACGGGGUGAUAUUGUCAGAGGCGUUUGAACCAGAGCGACUCCAUUCCGAGUGAGGGCUAGGAAAAUGAAGCUGAGGCUUGCUGGGCUGCAUUCCCAGAAAGUUAGGUAUUCCCAGCCUCUAGAUGUUUACGGUUAAGGGAACAAAUUAAUAACGUUUACUAAACAGACCCAGACUUGGGAGUGUCCAGAUAUUCCGAUAUCUGGAGAAGAAAGGCAUUCCUAAUUUUGCCUUAAAGAUAACAACACUGAUUCUUGCAAAACAUAGUAAUUAAGAAAAUUAAUCCUCUAUCACAAACCCUUGUAGCAGAGCACAUCUCCUCAUAUAACAAGCAUUGUACCUAGGGUGGACGCAUUCCUCCUCUUACUUUUGGGAACGUCCUACUCUGUCUAUGGAGUAGCUGCCCUUUCACCACUGUGCUUU